AGGCUGCAACUCGCCUGUAUGAAGUUGGAAUUGCUAGUAAUCGCGGAUCAGCAUGCCGCGGUGAAUACGUUCCCGGGCCUUGUACACACCGCCCGUCACACCAUGAGAGCCGGUAAUACCCGAAGUCAGUAUCCUAACCGCAAGGAGGGAGCUGCCGAAGGUAGGAUUGGCGAUUGGGGUGAAGUCGUAACAAGGUAAC
rnacentral:rRNA from 1 species